rnacentral:rRNA from 1 species
AAUGAACGUUGGCGGCGUGGAUUAGGCAUGCAAGUCGAGCGAGAACCCCGCAAGGGGGGACAGCGGCGAAAGGGACAGUAAUGUGUAGAUUAUCUGCCCUCAGGUCCGGGAUAGCUGCGGGAAACUGCAGGUAAUACCGGAUAACAUCUCCGGAUCAAAGGUGUGAUUCCGCCUGAGGAUGAGUCUGCAUCCUAUUAGCUAGUUGGUGGGGUAAUGGCCUACCAAGGCAUUGAUGGGUAGCAGGUGUGAGAGCACGACCUGCGUCAUUGGAACUGAGACACUGCCCAGACACCUACGGGUGGCUGCAGUCGAGAAUCUUCGGCAAUGGGCGCAAGCCUGACCGAGCGACGCCGCGUGUGGGAUGAAGGCCUUCGGGUUGUAAACCACUGUCAGAGGGGAUGAAAUGCAGGUGGGUUCUCCCAUCUGUUUGACAUAGCCUCAGAGGAAGGACGGGCUAAGUUCGUG